CCUUCCCGUCGCCCCGGCGGAGGCCGGGGCCGUCAUCGCUGGUAAAUCGACGUUGCCCCAAGGGCAUGGCGGCCCCGGCCUCCGCCGGGGCGACGGCAUAU
rnacentral:pre_miRNA from 1 species